GGUGGCUUGGGGUCUCCAAAGAGGUCUGGUGGGCACUUGCCCAACCUCCAACCUGGGGAGAAAUCACAUCUCUUCCAAGCCAGGUGGGAACAAGAAGCUUUUUUCCAACCUCUCCAUCGCAUUGCUGGGGUCACCGUGCUCCCCUCAACCCCACAUCUAUAGGGCCAGCCCUCCUCAGGUGCUGGCAUCGCAUGGUCUGGAUAGGAGGGGCCCGCAGGAGCACCCCGUUACAUUUUGAGGUGCCCAGAGGAGCUGAGCCUUUGGUGCAGGAAUGGAGUGGGGUGGGCAGCCCCAUCUCUGAGGUAAAGGAAGAAUUGGGUUCCUCCACCACAGAGCGUGGGGUGGAAGUGCUGCUCCCACCCAGACGAUGAGGAGCGGAGUGGUGGAUGGGGACGGGGGCCGCCAUGGCUUGGUGGGAACAAGAGAUGUGUCCGCAGCACACGGCUCUGUCACUCCAUCAGCUGAGCGCCGGGUGCCUUGGAGGGGGAUGCACAAAGCCGUCGCCACCCCCUGGUGAGGAAAAACCUGUGGGUUCCUCACUGCCAUUCCUCCCCUUCCGUCUCCUUGGAGGAGGACGUUGGCCAUGGGUCCCAACAGGAGGAGGGUGUUGGUCACGGGUCCCAAAGGGAGAAGGAUGUUGGCUGUAGGUUCCAACGGGAGGAGGACGUUGGUCCUGGUCCCAGUAGGAGGAUGAUGCUGGCCCUGGUCCCAGCGUUGUCACCAGAGGUCACGCUGCCGACACGCUGCCGUUCACUUCACUGCACACACAGAGCACGCACAGCACGUGGGUUUCUCCGAAGGUCUUCCCCAUCCACUCUCCAUAGGCUCAAUUCCUUCCAACGAAACGCGGCGCCGUGUUUUUAAGUACGGUUUCAUCUCACCGAACGUCACCACGGUUUCGGAUCGUCCUGAAGGUCCGGGAGGGAUUUGGGUCCCCAGAAAAAAGGGCUGUGGGGAUUUUGGGUCAGGACUCAGCCAUGGAGCGGUGGGGCCGUGGUUGGACAGCCCCCACGCGAGGGGUGGCAAUGGGGACACAGCUGGGGACACGGCGUCCUGCAGGAGGUGACACUGGGACUGUGCCCCUCACUGCUGGCACCCAGUGGAGCUUUGCAGUGUCACCACAUCCCCGGUGUCCCCUCCCGAAGCACGAGGGCUGCAUUGGCCCCAUGGCCACCGCGUGCCACCAGAGCACCGGGACGGGGACGCGGGGCACUGAACUCUCAAUAGACCACGAAAGCCAUAUUAGCGCGGAGCUCUGAGCGCCGUGGGGCGGCCGUGGGGCGGAGGACGGGCUGUGUUGUUGUGCUGUGUUCUUGUAUGUACAUAAAGGGAGACAACGAACGUCGGUGUUACUUUAUAACCUUUCUAAUAUCCUGUGCUAAUCUCGGAGAAAUAAUCCUAUGAAAUAUAUCUGGAUUACACACCUUCA